UCUCUGGCUCUACUCCGCUCAACAGUGAAGCUAUAUCUAAACCAUCAGUAGUCAAUAUUUUCAUUUGCAUGACAUCUGAGAGACUGGGAGAGGGAGGAAGAGAAAGAAGGAUCAAGAGCUCUACUGCUUGUCUGUUGAGCUUGAGCUGGCAAUUAGACAUUCACAGCACAUGUAACGUACUCAACAGCAGCUACAGCACAAAGGUCUGACAGAGCUUCCUAUAGUGCUUAGUCUUCUGCUCUCCUGGACAGGGUGACAAUCAGCAUAAAAGCUCUUUAUAUCCUGCUGGAUGUAUAUCCUGGUAGAAAAGAAGCCAGUCUUCGAUGUUUUAAACCUUAAGCCAUCUCUUAGGAGCUACUAAUGUGACAAUAUCCAGCUACAGAAUGGAUUGACAACAUGAAGGAAUACCCACAACUUCUGCGAAACAGAAACAGAUUUUUUUUAAAAUCAGGAGUCUGAUUUUUCCACAGGCAUGGUUUGCCAAUUAGAGCUGCCCAUUCUGGACAUUUAGAUACAAGCCUAAUGGAUAUUGUCCCCUAUGUUCCCUUCAGCCAGCUGAGCUCUGCCCUCUGCUGCUCCAGGACAUACUCCUUCCAGCACAGCAAGAGGUCUGCAUGCUCACCUGCAUCCCAGACAAGUAAAGGGAUGUAGCAGGUUUUGCAACAAAAGCUACAAUUCCAGCAACAAUUAUAAUGUCAGCACAGAAGUUACGUGUUCCAUGUAAAAUAGUCAAGGAAGAGAAAAAUGGUGCUCCAGUUGUACUUCAUGUGACCCCACAAAAUACCUGUGGACAGGCAUAACUGCUGAAAGCUGCGGCUGAGCUGGCAUCGGGAUGAUAGAAGCACCAGUGUGAGCUCUGCCACUCUGUUUAAAGCUGCAGGAAGUGCAAGGCUUUUGAAAGACCAGGUGUCUAUUCCCUUUAGUUUUUCCUACACCAUCUGCCUGACAAUCAGCAGUGAGGUGAAACUAAUGGCUUAAACAAGCAGACAAAUGGUUCUAAAUGCUGAUUUAGGAGGUUUAGUGCCUUUUCACCUAAACAUGAUCUUCACUGUUUACAAUUCAGAGGUGCUACCUGUCUGAUCAUUCCCCAUCCUCUACUUGCCAAGCUGUACGGCUUAAAAAGAAUAUCACAACUAAUACCAAGAUAGCAGCUAACAACAAAGCUGACUGAACUGGGGCUAAGGUGAAGAACUACUUUUAGUUAGCCUGCUGUUCCAGCUCAGCAGAAAAUAAAACAGUUUGCAGCUUUGGAUGCAGAGCUGUAUUAUUUACAUGCAUAAUUCAAAAUGGUUCAUCUUAAAGAAAAAUAAAAACAAACCUUUGUAGAGUUCCAAAAUAAUCUUUAACUUCUUUUUGAUAUGCUGAAUUUGUUGACAGCUUACUGUAUUAUUAUUAUUAUUAUUAUUAUUAUUAUUAUUAUUAUUAUUAUUAUUAUUAUUAUUAUUAUUAUUAUUGUGUCUAGGUCUAUCUGAGGGGCAUUACUGCCUACUAUUUUCCAGAAGGAUUAGGACAAUAAGACAUAAUUUGACAUAGGUCAUGUUUUUGUCAACUGACGGCUUUUCAGCAUUGUAUAUUUAUAUAUUUCUAAUUCCAGUUUCCAUUGUAUGUAAAGGAUGAUUACUUAUUUAAUGAAGAGACUUCACUGGAACAGAGUUUUGUCACAAGAUAAUGGUCUCAUGCUGUUAACUAAAUGGGAAAGCAUUUAUUGUAAAAUGUAUACACUCCAAUUUAAAAGAUUAGCUUGUAUGAAGUGAAGAUCCAGUAAUGGGAUGUGAGCAAGUGUAAGAGAAUAUAUUAUGAGAAAAAUAGUAUUUAUUUGUCUGUAAUAACAAACACAGUAACACAAAAAGAGAGACAACUUUGUUGUGUCUUUAUCCUCACAAUAUGUACAUGUCAAUAACUGAUUGUAUCAGUGCAAGCUAUAGACAUUGGUAGAGAAAAAAUACUGGUAAUGAUGACUGCUACAGGACUUCAGGAUUCAACCUUUCUGUCACUGGAGACUGGGUAAAUAAAACAAAAAGGUAUUUUCUCCAA